rnacentral:tRNA from 1 species
GGAGAGCUGGCUGAGUGGUCGAAAGCGGCGGUCUUGAAAACCGUUGAGGGGUAACCCUCCGGGGGUUCGAAUCCCUCGCUCUCCGCCA